rfam:Nicotiana attenuata strain TT chromosome 12, whole genome shotgun sequence.
UUGGUUUCCCGGCCUUUUGGUUAAGAUCAAGUCUAGUAUCCGUUCUUUUAGAACUGUAAUUAUUAAGUACUAAUACAUUGUCAUGAUUUGAAAUUCCCACCGUCCAAAUUAUGACGACGCCUAGCAUUUCACUUUCUAGGCAAGCCAA